CCUACGGGGGGCAGCAGUGGGGAAUAUUGCACAAUGGGCGCAAGCCUGAUGCAGCCAUGCCGCGUGUGUGAAGAAGGCCUUCGGGUUGUAAAGCACUUUCAGCGGGGAGGAAGGCGGUGAGGUUAAUAACCUCAUCGAUUGACGUUACCCGCAGAAGAAGCACCGGCUAACUCCGUGCCAGCAGCCGCGGUAAUACGGAGGGUGCAAGCGUUAAUCGGAAUUACUGGGCGUAAGCGCACGCAGGCGGUCUGUCAAGUCGGAUGUGAAAUCCCCGGGCUCAACCUGGGAACUGCAUUCGAAACUGGCAGGCUAGAGUCUUGUAGAGGGGGGUAGAAUUCCAGGUGUAGCGGUGAAAUGCGUAGAGAUCUGGAGGAAUACCGGUGGCGAAGGCGGCCCCCUGGACAAAGACUGACGCUCAGGUGCGAAAGCGUGGGGAGCAAACAGGAUUAGAUACCCGAGUAGUC
rnacentral:rRNA from 1 species